rnacentral:misc_RNA from 1 species
AAGUCGUAACAAGGUUUCCGUAGGUGAACCUGCGGAAGGAUCAUUAACACGUAUCCACGUAUCAACCAACCGGGAAUCGUUUUCAAUUCUCCCUCCAAAGGAUCAUGAGUGGGCCAGUCACCGGGAUAGAGUGGGCUCUUCGGAGCGCUUGGGACAUCGCAUAAAGCUGUUGCGUUUAAACAACAAGCCAACAGACCACUGAAUUUCAUAGUGAGGCAAACCUUCUUUACUGCUAAGAAUCCAUCUCUCUACCGAUGCAGUUUAGAUAUUAAUUAACACACUAUAAACACCCCCUUUUUGCUAGUUGACUUUUAUCUGUAGGUCUUUGCGCAAGCAAUGGCUCACACGUUUGAUUAUUUGAACGUUAAAAAUACAACUCUUAGCAAUGGAUAUCUUGGUUCUC